GCACGUAAUGAAGAAAAAUCGAUAAUCGCAAAUCUUCCCUCGCACCCGCAAAAGCAUUCCGCCAUCCACGUAGUUCUCACGAAAUAUUAAUUUGUACUUUUAGUCCUACCCUUUUAAGGAUAGAAUGACGAACGGACAGAGGGGUGGUAAUUAGUGGGAUAAUCGUCCAAGGCCACUGCGUGGGGAGGUUGCGCACGGCGGCCAUGUUUGUUGUGAUGUGUUGAGGCGGGGAUUCGUGUUUUCCAGGUCCGGAUUAGAGACCGAUAAAUUUCUUCAUAAGGGACCAAUCAAGGGCUGUGGAGUCGGAGUCGGAGUCGGAGUCGAGGAGUCGGAGUCGGUAAAAUUGUCCAGACUCCGACUCCGACUCGCAAAGGUAAAGCGACAUCGGAGUGAAAACGCAGCAGCGGUAGACAUUAAAAAUACGAGAGUUCAGCAAGAUUUCUUUGGUGCACUGAUGGAAGUGGAGAAAUUUGACCGGUCUUCAAAAGUGACAGUGGAAGAAGCCAUACCUGCUUACCCAGAGAUUGUAAAAGAUGUUGCUAGAGCUGUGACAGCAAUGCCACCCACUCAGGUCAGUGUAGAAAGACUGUUUUCUGCACUGAAAAUAAUCAGAUCAGAUUUAAGGGCUUCCAUGAAGGAAGGUCUGACUGAAGCUAUUCUGUUCCUAAGAACAAUUAUAUGAACUCAGGCAUAUUCAUUGCAGUGAUUCCACUGA